GGUCUCUCAGAGCUCCAUAGCUUGAUUCAGUCUUCACAUCCCUCAAGCAGAGACUCAGCAAUCUCACAGAAAAAGAAAAGAUAGAAAUGAUACUAUACAUAGGUAGUGUGUAGUGCACGUGUAUGGGGAUUCUCCUAAAAAGAAAUAGAAAUGCCAUGUGCUACACUAGAAUGAGAUGGAAAUUAAGCACGUGUUCAGACUUUCCCCGAGAAUGGAAUCGAUACAUCUUCUCUUGACACCCAAAUGCCUGAUUGGAGCGACUGAUGUUACGACAAAACGGUUCUUGUGGUUGCCUCCAACCAGAGCUUUCUGUGUAUUGAUUUUUCUCUUCAAGAAAAUACGAAAACUUCCAUACCAAACGCAGCGAGUUCUAAAGAGAUUAGGACAGAGAAAAUUCGAGUCUACACAAUG